AAGAGAGAGACAUGCGCGCAUAUCAAUAAGCGGAGGAAAAGAAACUAACAAGGAUUCCCCUAGUAACGGCGAGUGAAGCGGGAAGAGCUCAAAUUUGAAAUCUUAAAGGGUUUCCCUUUACGAAUUGUAGUUUAAAGAAGUGUUUUCUGUUGAGGUUUUGGUAAAAGUUCUUUGGAAUAGGACAUCAUAGAGGGUGAGAAUCCCGUAUUUGACCUUUACUUUCAACUUUGUGAUACACUUUCAAAGAGUCGGAUUGUUUGGGAAUGCAGUCCAAAAUGGGUGGUAAAUUUCAUCUAAAGCUAAAUAUUGGCGAGAGACCGAUAGCGAACAAGUACCGUGAGGGAAAGAUGAAAAGAACUUUGAAAAGAGAGUUAAACAGUACGUGAAAUUGUCAAAAGGGAAGCGUUUGACACCAGUGUUGUUUUUCUGAAAAUCAAUUAAAGAACUGUUUAUGCUAAGCUGUUUAGACUUUAUCAGCUAAUCUGUUCAGUUUUGAGCUUUUCUUUAAUGCACUUUUCAGUUAACAAGUCAACAUCAAUUUCUUUUGCUGUAAAAAAGCUUGAGGAAGGUGGCUUGAGAUUCGUCUUAAGUGUUUAUAGCCUCUUGCCUAUGCAGUCGGAGAGAUUGAGGUCUGCAGCGUAGAUCCUUCGGGGCUAAAUGCAUUUGUGCUAAGUUAUAGCAUUUUAUAGACAACUUGUUGACUAUGAUUUGUCUUGUAGCUUACUCGCUUAUGUUAUUUUACCUACGCUUAGGAUGUUGACGCAUGAGAUAUACGC
rnacentral:rRNA from 1 species